AAAUAUUUUAGAGCAAAUUAGCUCAAUAUACUUAAAAGGAUGGGAUACCAUACAAAUGGGGGAAAAUAGUAAUGAUGGGGGGAAGAAAAUUGGAGGGAUUUAGGGUAUGGAGUGCAAAUAGGGGAUAUUUGGUGUGUAGGGAGUACAACAAACAUAUAGGGUGUUAGUGUAUAGUUAUUUUGGAGUAAUUUUUUUAGAGUACAACUAUUUUACUCUGAGGGCAGCUGAAUAUUUACAAAUCAGGAAAACUAAGGGUAAAAAACAUUUCAGAUGGAUAUAGCUUAAAAUAGCACAAAUUAUCUCUCCACUUUUGAGGAGAGUAAACAAUAGUUCAAAAACAACAUAAUCCCGUUUUGGAUAUUCAAAUUCAAGUCCUGUAGAAUACGUGUGUGAAUUGUUAAUAGAAUACUUUUAAAGAAAUUGUUAAUAGAAUACAGUUUCAGAUUACUUUUAUUCA
rnacentral:lncRNA from 1 species